GGGCCUAUGGUCCAGUGGUAAGACGCGCCCUUCGCAUGGGCGAGACACCGGUCCGAUUCCGGUUAGGUCCA
rnacentral:tRNA from 1 species